GGGUGACUGCGUACCUUUUGUAUAAUGGGUCAGCGACUUAUAUUCUGUAGCAAGGUUAACCGUAUAGGGGAGCCGUAGGGAAACCGAGUCUUAACUGGGCGAAUUAGUUGCAGGGUAUAGACCCGAAACCCGGUGAUCUAGCCAUGGGCAGGUUGAAGGUUGGGUAACACUAACUGGAGGACCGAACCGACUAAUGUUGAAAAAUUAGCGGAUGACUUGUGGCUGGGGGUGA
rnacentral:rRNA from 1 species